rnacentral:rRNA from 1 species
ACAUCGCCUCUCGAACUUAUUAGAGGUCUAGCCUGCCCAGUGACUCUGUUCAACGGCCGCGGUAUCCUAACCGUGCAAAGGUAGCGUAAUCACUUGUCUUCUAAAUAAAGACUAGUAUGAAAGGCAUCACGAGGGCUUAACUGUCUCCUCUCUCUAAUCAGUGAACCUAAUCUCCCCGUGAAAAAGCGGGGAUUUUUAUAUAAGACAAGAAGACCCUAUGGAGCUUAAAACAUUUUUCACGUGCUUUUUCUCCCCCACCACCCAGGUCCCCUAACUUUACCCACACGAUGAUUAUGUGUUUUUGGUUGGGGUGACCGCGGAGAAAAUCCCAUCCUCCGUAGCGAAAGGAGAUGCUCCUUAACAACAAGCCACAACUUUAUGUAUUAACAUAUUAACACCAUUGACCCAAUAAAUUGAUUAGUGAACCAAGUUACCCUAGGGAUAACAGCGCAAUCCACUUCCAGAGCCCCUAUCGACAAGUGGGCUUACGACCUCGAUGUUGGAUCGGGGUAUCCUGGUGG